rnacentral:lncRNA from 1 species
CCGGCUGUCUCAGGUUUUGUUAAAUGGGCUGCUAACUAUCACUCCACCUCCACCAAAAGCCUAUGAGCACCCAACUCAAGAGGAGUUAAAAGCUUUCUAAAUGUCUAUUUAAGAGACUGGAUUAGGAAAGAGUUGAGGAGGAAGAUUAACUGUGGUCGUUAACACCCCUGUCAUUAACAAGCCACAUACAGAGAACACAAACUUUAUUAAUAGAGAGGAGUGUGGAAAGAGGAAAUGGUUCUCCCUUGGCUAGCACAAGCUCCAGUUCAUGAUCCUUCAAAAAUCAGGCCAAGGCACUGCUUCAACCAGUCACAGAAUUAUUCUGGGGGCAAAGUAUCCUAUUUGUUGAUUAUCUAAGCCUCCCGCUCCAGCGAGCAAGGGAGUAAAGAGACUUUUGUUCUUUUAGAUUAAAACAUCUACAUUAUAAAUGGAGAUAAAGGGUGCCUUAUAAAUUUCAUUUGACUGUACUGUCCUCCAAGCUCUGAAUGCCAUUAAAAAAUAUAAAUGAAUGUGUACUAUAGCAAUUCUCAGAACUGCUCAAAGCGUUAAGUCUGGUUCAUUGGUAUAUUUACCACUAACACACAAAUUCUUGAUAACUCAUUACCAGAUCACAAUUCCACAAAAUAAUAAUUUUACAUGAGAUUUUUCUUUUUCCUUUAUUCAAAUCUACCGAAUUUCUUCUCCCAAGUGUCCAUCUUCUCUAAAUUUAGUUAGGGCACACCUAAACCCAUCGCUGGGCAAGAGGUUAGAUAGUCAAUUGUUCCAAGAUUCAUGAGAAAGUAGAAUUUGUAUCACUAUGGGCAAAUGUCUUCCAGAUGGUGCUUCCAACAACUCUAUCCUUGGAAUGACAGGAGAAACAAACCUACACCAGAAAUUAUUGAACCUUGUACGUCUCUGCAAGCAUCUCUAUUGACAUUUAAGUGUGAGUUACUAUGCCACAAUAUCAUAAAAGUGUGCUCUACACUUCAGAUAUCUUGAUAGUUAAAUGCAAAGAAAGGCCAUCAGAUAAACAGCUAAAGGGAUGGCCAAUCUCAG